rnacentral:rRNA from 1 species
UACGUAGGGUGCGAGCGUUAAUCGGAAUUACUGGGCGUAAAGGGUGCGCAGGCGGUUCUGCAAGUCAGGCGUGAAAGCCCCGGGCUUAACCUGGGAAUGGCGCUUGAAACUACAGGACUGGAGUAUGGCAGAGGGAGGUGGAAUUCCACGUGUAGCGGUGAAAUGCGUAGAGAUGUGGAGGAACACCGAUGGCGAAGGCGGCCAUCUGGACAGAUACUGACGCUGAGACGCGAAAGCGUGGGGAGCAAACAGG